rnacentral:rRNA from 1 species
GCUUGUCUCAAAGAUUAAGCCAUGCAUGUCUAAGUAUAAGCACUUAUACCGUGAAACUGCGAAUGGCUCAUUAUAUCAGUUAUAGUCUACUCGAUAGUACCUUACUACUUGGAUAACCGUAGUAAUUCUAGAGCUAAUACAUGCAUCAAACCCCGACUCACGAAGGGGUGUAUUUAUUAGAUGGAAACCAAUGCGGGGCAACCCGGAUUAUGGUGAUUCAUAAUAACUUUCAGAUCGAUCGCAAGAUCGAUGCAUCAUUCAAGUUUCUGCCCUAUCAGCUUUGGAUGGUAGGGUAUUGGCCUACCAUGGCUUUAACGGGUAACGGAGAAUUAGGGUUCGAUUCCGGAGAGGGAGCCUGAGAAAUGGCUACCACAUCCAAGGAAGGCA